GCUGCGGAAAAGUCUCCACCCACAAACUUCGGGAUUUUUUACGCAUGCGUCAAGCAGUUGGGCCCGAUGAGUGAACAAUCGUGAGGCGUCAAGUGCGGUGUCAGAAAGGCGCAUGCGUAACAAGCGAGUCUGAUACACAAGGGCCUCUGUUGGAAAGUAACGUGGACGGGGUUAGGGAGUUUUCCGCCUUGCAACGCAACGUCAAGAAUUCUCUAUGACAACCUUGAGGCCGGAAUGGAGACGUGUACUACUGGCAUUCUUUAUUGGCACUUCCGGUUAAGAUUGAGUUUCGUUUCUAUUGCAGCUUCAGUAGGUUUCGCUUUCAUGUGACCAAGAUCUAGAGCAGUCUUUCCCAAUCUUUUUGACGUCGGAGUACCCUUGACCUCGCUCUUCAUAUCUCAAGGUACCCCUGAUUGGAGAGGUGUGACUUGAGUUGACUUGGAAGCUCAUUUUCAGGUUAAGAACAUAAGAAGAGCAAAAGGUCUACCCCCAGACAUAUAUCAGAAACACCAACGAUUAUGGAAUCCAUGGAUGUUGCUCCCGGGCCAAGCAACCAGCUCGAGCCCAGGGAUGUGCCUGCAAGACCCAGUUGCACGCCAAGGUGCACCAAGGGGAAGUUCUCAGCCAAAGACCGUCGUGAGCAUCAGGAAACGAUGAGAAGUCUGAAAAUACGUGAAGGGAUAGAGGCAAUAUGCAAAACAUUUGAGGUUAAAUGAGAGCCAGGGUGGAAAACUUUUCAAACGCUGCAUCAUGCAGCCCUGAUUUUUCAUCAAAGAAAAAACAAAGAUGAGAUAUUUGUAGAUUGUGAAACCACCCUAAAAAGUGGAAAAGUUAUCACGACCAAGGACAUUGUUGUUGCAUUGUCCUCCAUAUAUGGCAAAAAAGAGGAGACCCCAAGCACUUUUGCUGGGCCAAGAUAAGAAACAUCUUGGCUCAGAUCUUAGUGUUAAGAAGGAACAUGAUAUCCUUUAUGGGCCUCACUGCACAGGAGCAUUCUGGACCUCAAGCAAUCUUUGAACCUAAAAGGAUGAUACCCGGAUGGGUCGCAAGGCGGGUGCCAGGGGCACUUCUCCCAGAAAAAAAGAAACUGGAGACUGGGAAGAAAAGGAAGAGAGGAGCUCAACCACAGCCAGAAGUCAGCGGCCACAGCAUGCUGCGCCCACUAGACAUUGCAUUUGACUGCGACUUAUCAGGAGAGAUGUAUUUCUGGAUGUUAAUCCCACAUGGGGCACCAGACUAUAUGAAAAUUGGAUAGAUCUAUGCAUGCUUCGGAAAUGCGGUAAAGCUGUUAUUACAUGCUGUGAAGUUCAGUUUGCAUGACACAAGCCCCAUAAAUGGAUAUGGGGGACCAGCUGCCAAGCUUGAAGAAAUUCCAAUGAAGACGAUCAGGUUUGAGCCAGGUUUCACAAUUGCUGCAUGGGGCAUCCUGCCAACUAGCACCACCGGAGACAAGAACAUUAAUUACACUGUGAAGACACUGACAGGAUACCAACGGCGCAGCGAACAAGGGUUGGGCGGCUGGGGACCCGUCUACCAAGAAUUAUCAUGCCUUGUACAAGGAGAUGGAAGACAAGGCACAGGGUGAAGGACCCGGUCAUGAAAUUCUGGAGCCCCCCCCCC